UACGUAGGGCGCAAGCGUUGUCCGGAAUUAUUGGGCGUAAAGAGCUCGUAGGCGGUUUGUUGCGUCGGCUGUGAAAUCCCGAGGCUCAACCUCGGGUCUGCAGUCGAUACGAGCAAACUAGAGUGUUGCAGGGGAGACUGGAAUUCCUGGUGUAGCGGUGAAAUGCGCAGAUAUCAGGAGGAACACCGGUGGCGAAGGCGGGUCUCUGGGCAACAACUGACGCUGGAGGAGCG
rnacentral:rRNA from 1 species